UGAAGCCCUGGUGAACGGCGGCCGUAACAAUAACGGUCCUAAGGUAGCGAAAUUCCUUGUCGGGUAAGUUCCGACCUGCACGAAUGGUGUAACGACUUGGGCACUGUCUCGGCCAUGAGCUCGGUGAAAUUGUGGUAUCGGUGAUGACGCCGAUUACCCGCAGCGGGACGAAAAGACCCCGUGAACCUUUACUACAACUUUACAUUGGCUUUAGCUGUACCAUGUGUAGGAUAGGCGGGAGACUUUGAAGCGGCGUCGCUAGGCGUUGUGGAGUCACCCUUGAAAUACCGCCCUUGCUACAGGUGAAGUCUAACCCGAGUAGGGAACAGUGUAUGGUGGGUAGUUUGACUGGGGCGGUCGCCUCCUAAAGAGUAACGGAGGCUCCCAAAGGUACCCUCAGCACGGUCGGCAAUCGUGCGUAGAGUGUAAAAGCAUAAGGGUGCUUGACUGCGAGACAUACAGGUCGAGCAGGCACGAAAGUGGGGUUUAGUGAUCCGGUGGCACCGCAUGGAAGGGCCAUCGCUCAAAGGAUAAAAGGUACUCCGGGGAUAACAGGCUGAUACCGCCCAAGAGUUCACAUCGACGGCGGUGUUUGGCACCUCGAUGUCGGCUCAUCACAUCCUGGGGCUGAAGCCGGUCCCAAGGGUAUGGCUGUUCGCCAUUUAAAGUGGUACGCGAGCUGGGUUUAGAACGUCGUGAGACAGUUCGGUCCCUAUCUGCCGUGGACGUUGGAGAUUUGAGGAAAGCUGCUCCUAGUACGAGAGGACCGGAGUGGACGAACCUCUGGUGUUCGGGUUGUGACGCCAGUCGCAUUGCCCGGUAGCUAUGUUCGGACAGGAUAACCGCUGAAAGCAUCUAAGCGGGAAGCCCCUUCCAAGAUGAGAUCUCCCUGGACCCUCGAGGUCCCUGAAGAGCCGUUCAAGACCAGGACGUUGAUAGGUCGGGUGUGUAAGCGCUGCGAGGCGUUGAGCUAACCGAUACUAAUUGCUCGUGCG
rnacentral:rRNA from 9 species